AGGAGACUGAGGCAGAAGAAAGGAGUGAAGCUGGGAGGCAGAGUUUGCAGUGAGCCGAGAUCACGCCACUGCACUCCAGCCUGGGUGACAGAGCGAGACUCCGUCUCAAAAAAAAAUGAAAAAAAAAAAUUAAAAAUGUGUCCUCAUAUUUUGGCCUUUGAGACAAAGCCUCUUAUUUAAUCGAGUUCUGACUGAAUUUGACUCACAGUACUCUGGCAGAUUCUUCAUUUUCUGGUGAGAUAGAUGAAUGUCGCAGGGUGAGGGCAAUGCCAGCCCUUUCAAGGUCAGCUUUUUGAGGAGUGAUGUCUGGCAGAACACAACCCAACACCAUAGUAGGAUCCCCCACCCAGCCACUUAGACACUUUCUGGUACUUACUCUGUCUGCUUUUUUCCCUUUCUUGAAUUCACCUUGGGGGGGGGGGGACAAAAAAUUCAAAACCAAAAACAAACAGCCCGUGUGUUUUUGUGUCUGAAAAGUUAAUACAUCCACAUCCAACUUUCUAAAUGAGACACGGCAGGUAUGAUGGUCACCGAACAGUGGCCACUGUUGACAAAAUGCAAAGUCUUCUGCAAACAUGAACGAGUUUCUAGGAAUACAAAGUCAAGGGAAUUUACUUCACAUACUAAAGCUGUCAAGGGUGCUCAUCAAAAAUGUACUUAGAGGUUUUCCUUUAAAGUUAUUUUUGAAGAUUUUUAAGUUGCAAUACUUAAAAGCCUCUGGGAAAAGAAAGGAUACAGGUAUCUGGAAGAUUUAUACUAAAUGAUUUUCUUGUCUUUUUCAUAAAGUUAAAUAAGAUCAGCCUUGAAGUAAUGGGUUCCACUACUCUGAGGCUAUGGAUGGAAUCCACACCACCACCAGACAAUUGAAUAAACAGCAAGGCUGCACACACAGGACGCAGGCAGUGAGCCAGCCUGACUAGUUGUCAGCUUCUGGGUCAGUUCUGCCCAGUUCUGCCCAGGCCCCACUGGAGAUGAAAACCUGCCCUUUAGAAGUCUUCAAACCCCACCUUUCAAAAUCUAAUCCUCUUCAACUGAGGCCCAAGUCCAAAAAUCUACUGACAUCUUAGCCCGCAUUAGACCAGCUGUCCCGCAGCCUUUUUGGCACCAGGAAUGGGUUUCAUGGAAGAAAAUUUUCUGGGGCUGGUUUUGAAUUGCAACUGUCCCACCUCAGGUCAGGUAUGGGAUCCUCAUAAGGAGCACCUCCGAGAUCCCUCACAUACAGUUUACAAUAGGUGCCUAGGAGAACAUGCGGCUUCUGAUAGGGCCCCGGCACCUAGGAAAACAUGCGGCUAUGAACAGGUAUUAUAUCUAGGAGAACAGGUAUGAAAUGAGUUGGUAAAGCCAAAAUCCACCCGAUCUACCACUCCAGAACAAACAUACACCACUGUCCAAUAUUGAUGUGAGCCAAAAACAUGGAAGUCCUGAGGGCCCAUACUGACCACAGCCAGACACCACUUCUGCAAGAAGCAAGCACGCGCCUAGAGAUCACCCGUGAUGACCCAGGAGAGCAGUUUGAGCAGAGACAAAUGUGAAAGAGAGGCACAUGGGCCAGGGUGCUGGGUGUGCCCGUCUUUGUGACCUCACUGAGAUUGCUGACCUCUAGCCCUUGGUGUCUGUCCUACGGAGGAGGUAGCCCCCAAAUCCCUGCCACCCUUCAGCACUGACUGAGGCGGCUCUGAAGUCUCCCCAGGACUGAGACUGUUUCUAAAUCCUGUUAACUGCACACCCA
ensembl:lncRNA